AACUAACGCUGGCGGCGUGCCUAACACAUGCAAGUCGUACGAGAAAGCCGGCUUCGGCUGGUGAGUAAAAUGGCGCACGGGUGAGUAACGCGUGGAUAAUCUGCCCUUAAGUGUGGAAUAACGUACCGAAAGGUGCGCUAAUACCGCAUAAUGCCUGGCAACACAAGUUGUCCGGCCAAAGAAGGCCUCUGUUUACAAGCUUUCGCUUCAGGAUGAGUCCGCGUACCAUUAGCUUGUUGGUGGGGUAAUGGCCUACCAAGGCUGCGAUGGUUAGCUGGUCUGAGAGGAUGAUCAGCCACACUGGAACUGAGACACGGUCCAGACUCCUACGGGAGGCAGCAGUGAGGAAUAUUGCGCAAUGGGGGCAACCCUGACGCAGCAACGCCGCGUGAGUGAGGAAGGUUUUCGGACUGUAAAGCUCUGUCGAGCGGGAAGAAGUGUACCAUGGCUAAUAUCCAUGAUAUUUGACGGUACCGCUAGAGG
rnacentral:rRNA from 1 species